UACAGAGGGGGCGAGCGUUAUUCGGAAUUAUUGGGCGUAAAGGGCGCGUAGGUGGCUUGACAAGUCAACGGUGAAAUCCCUCGGCUCAACCGAGGAAUGGCCUUUGAAACUGUCGAGCUAGAGGCCGGGAGAGGGUAGUGGAAUUCCCAGUGUAGCGGUGAAAUGCGUAGAUAUUGGGAGGAACACCAGUGGCGAAGGCGGCUACCUGGACCGGUUCUGACGCUGAGGCGCGAAAGCGUGGGGAGCAAACAGG
rnacentral:rRNA from 1 species